GUUGAACGCUGGCGGCAUGCCUUACACAUGCAAGUCGAACGGCAGCACGGACUUCGGUCUGGUGGCGAGUGGCGAACGGGUGAGUAAAGUAUCGGAACGUACCUUUCAGUGGGGGAUAACGUAGCGAAAGUUACGCUAAUACCGCAUAUUCUGUGAGCAGGAAAGCAGGGGAUCGCAAGACCUUGCGCUGAUUGAGCGGCCGAUAUCAGAUUAGCUAGUUGGUGGGGUAAAGGCCUACCAAGGCUACGAUCUGUAGCGGGUCUGAGAGGAUGAUCCGCCACACUGGAACUGAGACACGGUCCAGACUCCUACGGGAGGCAGCAGUGGGGAAUUUUGGACAAUGGGGGCAACCCUGAUCCAGCCAUGCCGCGUGAGUGAAGAAGGCCUCGGUUGUAAG
rnacentral:rRNA from 1 species